GCUCUGCACAGGACAGGGUGGAGAGGAGCUUGGAGAUCAAGAUGGAGAAGGGAGAAGGCCAGACGAUGAGAGGGGAGUGAACCCUGGGCGUAAUGGUUCCACACCAAGAGAAGUUCUGAAGGUCAAGGUCCAGAAGCCAAGAUUCAGCUGGGCAGGUUGCAUCUCUACAAGGCAGCCUCAGAUGUUCAUUGUCAAAUGGAUGAACUGGGAAGAGAGAGAGAGAGAGAUGAGGGGUCAUUGUCCUUCCAUGUCCCUUCCAGCCUCAGCCUCAGGAGUGGCCCCAGUUUUCUGACAUCACAGGAGAUCUGCUAUUUUAUCAUUUUGCCUGCCAGCUUGGAUGUCUGUCUCAACAGGAAACCAUUUAAAGAAAAUAAAUGAAUUCUCAGCACUUGA